rnacentral:rRNA from 1 species
GGGCACGACACCGGAGAGGGAGCCUGAGAAACGGCUACCACAUCCAAGGAUGGCAGCAGGCGCGCAAAUUACCCAAUCCCGACACGGGGAGGUAGUGACAAUAAAUAACAAUACAGGGUUCUUUUGGAUCUUGUAAUUGGAAUGAGUACAAUUUAAAUCUCUUAACGAGGAACAAUUGGAGGGCAAGUCUGGUGCCAGCAGCCGCGGUAAUUCCAGCUCCAAUAGCGUAUAUUAAAGUUGCUGCAGUUAAAAAGCUCGUAGUUGAAUUUCGGGACCAUCAUGUCGGUCGUGCCUCGGUACGUACUGGCAUUAUUGGUUUCUCCCUUCUGACGAACCAUGAUGUCAUUUAUUUGGUGUUGUGGGGAAUCAGGACUGUUACUUUGAAAAAAUUAGAGUGUUUAAAGCAGGCUCACGCUUGAAUACAUUAGCAUGGAAUAAUGAAAUAGGACGUUUGAUUCUAUUUUGUUGGUUUCUAGGAUCGACGUAAUGAUUAAUAGGGAUAGUUGGGGGCAUUAGUAUUCAAUUGUCAGAGGUGAAAUUCUUGGAUUUAUUGAAGACUAACUACUGCGAAAGCAUUUGCCAAGGAUGUUUUCAUUAAUCAAGAACGAAAGUUAGGGGAUCGAAGACGAUCAGAUACCGUCGUAGUCUUAACCAUAAACUAUGCCGACUAGGGAUCGGAUGAUGUUAAUUUUUUUAAUGACUCAUCGGCGCCUACGGACUG